rfam:Dipodomys ordii contig_27265, whole genome shotgun sequence.
GGUAGCUCAGUGGUAGAGUGCUUGCCUUGUAUGUAGGAGGCCCUGGGUUCGAUUCCUCAGGACCA